rnacentral:tRNA from 3 species
GGAGAGGUGUCCGAGUUGGCUUAAGGGGCUCGCCUGGAAAGCGGGUGUGCGGGAAACUGCACCGAGGGUUCGAAUCCCUCUCUCUCCGCCA